rnacentral:snRNA from 1 species
GUAUCCCCAUCCAGCAAGCACACAUACUAACAUUGGAAAGAUUAGCCUGGCCCCUGUGCAAGGGAUGACUUGCAAAUUUGUGAAAUAUUCCAUUAAAAA